UAUGGCUGAAGAGACACAGGCGGGGAGCUCUGUCACCGGGAGGACGUUGCCUGCUGAGAGAAAAAUACGACUCGGGGUCAGAAAGCUGUCAACGGGAUUCUAGACAUGGCAGGACAAUGUGGAGAAGAGAAGAGGAGGUUUCUGUCCUCCCUGAGCUCACCUUAGGACACCUGCGUUACCGUCUGACAGGUGUACUGCCCCAGUCAAACUCCCCACCUGCCACUGUCCCCGGAGCGGGUCACGCCCGGCGGCGAGGCCGGGCGCUUGACACCAGAAGCGAGAGCCCGCUCGAGGCUCGCCUCCCGGGGUAAGUGAAAAAACGAUAAGAGUAGUGGUAUUUCACUGGCGGCCGAGGCCUCCCACUUAUUCUACACCUCUCAUGGGAAAAUAUAGCCAUUGGUGAAGCUUAGAGGGGUCAAUGAUCAAAUUUAGCAUUUUAGAAUAGAAUAUGCUUUAUUGUCAUUAUACAGUGUGUAACAAGAUUGGAGAAUUUUGUGGAGUUUUCAGGAAAAUCCAUUGAUGGAAGGAUUAUGUGACUUGGCAUGCAAAAAAAUGAUAUAACAGUUUUUAUGGUUAGCGUAACGGCUACUAACAUCACACUCGUUGCAGUAGUAGGCAGGCUCAUCUUUGACCCGACUCUGGUAGGAAAUCUUUUUGCCAUCAGCCACCAGUUGGUCCCGCAGGAUCUGGAUGUGCUUCAUGGACUGCAGCAGGCAGUGUCUGCCAGGAAAGUAGAGAUCAAUGUUAAUAUAAAGGCUCCCAUCAAAUAGUAAUGUGCAGGUUUUUUGUGAGUAUAUAAAUCUUAACCAGUGCAAUCUAACGGAACAUCCCCUCAGCACAUUCUGCUUUUUAAAAGUAGCUACUGGUCAUAUUAAUUGUGAUACUGUUGAAAUAUCUAGGUUUGACUCAAACUGCCAGCUGUACUCACUUGAUCAUCUUGUAGGUGUCUGGGUCAGUGAUCUUGAGAGUGCGGGCCACAUUCCAGGACACAUGAAUCAUGGGGACGAUGGACUUGACCUUCUUCACUUCGUUCCACUCAAACCUCUCCAGGGCCAGCUGGUACUGGUAACCUGUAAUACACAUGAAACAAAUACCAGCUUAAAAAAUGCUCUCGCUUGUGUUGAAGUAAUCUAUUUUUUUGGCCGCUAGGUGGUGCAUUUCUUACCAUUGAGAGGUCCAACAUUCCAGGCGAUGUUGUUGCACCAGCCCACAGCCUGAACCCAGUGAACAGUACCAGCAUUGAUCCACACCAAGUCUCCAGGCCGCUGGAUGAAGCGGUACACAGGGAUGUUGGCGUUGUAGAGGUCCUCCAACACCGGCCACCAGGACCCUGUCAGGUAGUCCACUCCAUGCCUGAGCACAUAGGAGGAAGGGGUAGGGCUUAGUAUCUAAAAUCAGUCUGGCUGUUGCAAUCUUACCAUAUUUCUUUUGUAUAAAGGUGUUAACACUUUUACAAACUGUUAAUUAUCCAUGAUGUCAGAUUUGUCUCUAUCUACUCACUUUUCACAGAAGUCAUUGAUGGCCUGCCAGUAGUUCUCAUGGACUGAAAACCAUUCACAGUCUCCAGGUCCAAUGUUGAUGUUGACUGAGCAGAAGUUGUUGUUCUCCUGGUGACCUGUUGAAAAAGGACAAAACAUGUACGUCAUAAAGAAUUCUUAAUUCAGAUAGUAGCUUGUGUAUUCUUUAACUAAUGCGUCUUCCCAUGUUUCUUACCAGGCGUUCGGCUCCCUGGAACCUUCAUGUACAGCUGGACAGUGUUCAUGCCUAAGAUGGUGUGCCCAACGUGGCUCAGCAUGUUUCCACUCGAUGCUACGCGCAUAAAUGCUGGAAGCUUCUGCAGCUCCUGAAGCUGAGGUUUCCACCUGAGCCAAAAGACAGCAGAUUAGAAGCUUGCUUUUAGGAUGAGCUGCAUUUGCCACACACACACACAUCACUAUUGUUUUAGGAUGGGACGUUGAAGCUGCUCACCUCUUGGGAUCGGAGAGAUCAAUAUUGGUGCCAAACUUGAUGAUCUUCCCAACUGGUUUCUGCUCACCACUAAAAACAACAUUUCAACAUUAGUACAAAUUGCAAAACACCAGAGUACUCUAUAAUAAAUGUUAUGCUCUGAAAAUUCUACUUACUUGCUACUUUCUUUAGAGCUGUCCUUGCUGGGAGUAUCGGAGCUGCUGGGUGGCUUCUUCUCAUCAUCUUCAUCGUCCUCCUCAUCACUGCCUUUCUCCUCCUGAAUACACAGAUAACAUGUUUAUAGGCACAUCCUGCAUAAAACAAUGUGCAUCAAUGCAGAAAUAGUAGCUGUGCAGUAGUGUGUCACAUUAUAUACCUGCAGACUCUCUUGGAAGCUGGAGGCCUGGUACUGGGCGUACUUGGCGAUGGUGGUGUGGGAGCGACUGCUCUCACAGGGCCAUGUCUGACCGGUGCCACUGGGGUCCCAAUUCUCAUCAGCAGGCUGCUGCACCUGAGUCCUCACCUCCACCGCCUGCUCUGCAUUGGCCUCCACCAGGGACUUUGUGGAAAACAACCCAAGGUCUGAAAAUAUUGCAAGGGAAAAUUAGAGGCAUCCUUGUGUUGUAAAGUUGCUACACACCAACAGGAAAGAUGGGAAAUUAUGUUUAACUCUGUUCCCUAUAAACAUCAGGACAGCCUUCUCACAAGUUUGUGUAAAUAAAGUGGAUUUAUUUACAAGUGCCUUAAGUGUAAACUUACUGAGCCGUAGAGAUCCAGCCAAUCCUCUGAUGACUGUAACAGGAUUCUUGGGGUCUGUACAGAACUGCAGCAGCACAGGGGAGAAGGCAUCCCUCUUACUCUCCAACUACAGAGGACAAAAAUCAAUCAUGAAUUACAAAGAUUGCCAAAGAUUCAGAGACAGUUUAUUUAAAAAUGAGAUGAGAAAAUUAAAAGACUAUACCAGUGAAUAAGAGGUCAAGCACAAGAAAACUGCUCUGUAUUUCUGACAGUAAAGAAAUAUUCUGAAAAUGUAUAUUCAGGUUUUAGGGCCUAAGAGCAAUUAGUUUAGUUUGACUGUUAUUGUUUCACUUCCGGACUAAAGUUACCUGAGGCACUGAAUAUGAGUGCAAACUAAUUGUAACAAGACAUUUAGUAACUGUACAGCGAGUGUUUUAACCUGUUUUCAUGUAUCCUAAAUCACCAUAAGAGGGCAGCACAUGCAUUGUCUGAACAACUGUAUAUGUUAAGUCAGCUUAGCUCUGUGGUAAAAAGUGUCUGAGUGCUAUUUGAAUAAACGUUGGUAUUAAACAA